rnacentral:lncRNA from 1 species
GCUUGGUGCUGUUGCGUGUGGGCUGAGAAGGAUACCGAGCUUGGCACUGUUGCGUGUGGGCUGAGAAGGGUACCGAGCUUGGCACUGUUGCGUGUGGGCUGAGAAGGGUACCAAGCUUGGCACUGUUGCGUGUGGGCUGAGAAGGGUACCGAGCUUGGCGCUGUUGUGUGUGGGCUGAGAAGGGUACCAAGCUUGGUACUGUUGCGUGUGGGGCUCUAUAUCAGACAAUGAGGAUGUUCCAGGAUUUUCAACCACUGCAGACAACACUACGAUAGCCUGUGCCUUUGGUUCUUGGUGGUGAAAUUGGGAAAGCUGAAACUUUUCAUUAGGAUGCUGAAAGAUGACAUGAGUCAGGGAAGUGAUUUUUUUUUUAAGAACUCUAUUAGUGCUGUGUGGCCAGGAGGGCAUCUUUACCACACCCUAUAGAAACUGAUCGGUCCGCUCUGCUGCAGGUGAGGGAUACAGCGCCACUCACAAUACAGACUAAGUAACUGCUCCCCGAGAGCUCCAGCACUGUUCUCUGGACUUGUUUCUCUGGUUUCUUUUCCUGUCUGCCCAGACUUUGAUCUCCUAAUUGAUGGCUUGAAAUUCAAGGUUAUUCUUCUGUGUUUGUUUGUUUUUCAAAGAAAGAACAUUCUCCACAUUACGCAUGCCACAGGUAAAAAGUAAAAACCGGGAUAACAACAAAACAAUCUCCAGUGGAUAUUUCUGAAAGCCUUUGUGCCAUACAUGACAAAGGCUGCAGGCAGUUCUGGGGCAGAACACAAGGUUCUGCCUUUUGUUGUUGUUCUUUAUACUAUCCUAAAUAUCACCUAAGAUUCAGAUCCGUUUAACCAAAACUCAAUAAUUUUGGCUUUUUUUUUCUUUCCUCUAACAAGAGAUUAGAUGUUACUGAUAGAUAGUUAAUCAAUCCUUUACCAUUUUUUGCUCUUUUAGCGUUUACACACAGUUUCCACUGUCAGAUUUAGUGCCUCAUGGUCACAAGAAAGUUGCCACAGUUUGGUUUCAACCUUACAUUUGGAAUAAAAAGAAAAUUCGGGAAGCAAGAAGAAAGGCAAGCACUUUUAUUGGUGAAGCUAAGGAUCAUGCAGAAAUAUACUAUACAGGAGAUGUUUCCUUGUGUGUCACCAGCUGGAACUAGGUCAUUCAUCAUCCCUAGAAACAAAGCAAUCAUAUAUAUAUAUAUAUAUAUCCAUAUACUGUGUCCUUCUGACCUACUUUACCACUCACAAUAUCCUCUGAUUUAAAAGAAAUAGUGGAAAUUGGAAAUUGAUUAUGAGCAAGCAAAUAGCAGCCACUGUCAAUUCUUAGGAAGCUGCAAAAGCAUAUAAGCUCAUCUCAGAAAUUAUUUUUCUUCUUGCUCUCUUUCCUGCUACCAGAGGACGUCUUUGAUGGAAACAACUGAGAAACUCUGCAGGAAUUUCAAGGAGAGGACUGGAUGUUUAUAGCAGUAUUCAGGCUCAACAGUGGCAUCUGGAACACUUAAGGAUCGGAGCAUCCUCAGAGACGAACAAUACUGUCUAUGUAGAUGGAAUAUGCAUCAGACUUACUUCAUGGCUUAGAAAUCAUUUUAUUAUCUCUGUGUGUGCUAAUUUCACAGCUUCGAUUCUCCUAGACAACCCCCUCACCU